rnacentral:rRNA from 1 species
GACGAACGCUGGCGGCGUGCUUAACACAUGCAAGUCGAACGGAAAGGCCCUGCUUUUGUUGGGUGCUCGAGUGGCGAACGGGUGAAUAACACGUGAGUAACCUGCCCUUGACUUUGGGAUAACUUCAGGAAACUGGGGCUCAUACCGGAUAUGAGCUCCUGCUGCAUGGUGUGGGUUGGAAAGUUUCGGCGGUUGGGGAUGGACUCGCGGCUUAUCAGCUUGUUGGUGGGGUAGUGGCUUACCAAGGCUUUGACGGGUAGCCGGCCUGAGAGGGUGACCGGCCACAUUGGGACUGAGAUACGGCCCAGACUCCUACGGGAGGCAGCAGUGGGGAAUAUUGCACAAUGGGCGGAAGCCUGAUGCAGCAACGCCGCGUGCGGGAUGACGGCCUUCGGGUUGUAAACCGCUUUCGCCUGUGACGAAGCGUGAGUGACGGUAAUGGGUAAAGAAGCACCGGCUAACUACGUG